CCAUUUCCAUUUCCAGCUCCAUGUUCCAGUUCCAUAGAUCAUACCCUGUUAUUAUUGGCAAAAAAAAACUCCAUGAAUUCGCAGUUGCGUGCCGGCGGCGCGUGUUCCUCCUCUUCUCCUUCUUUAAUGUGAUGGCUUAUGUCAUGCAAAAUCCACCCACUCAUUUUUAUUAUUGUUAACUACGAAAUUGGUAUGUUGUGGAUAAAGAUGGAAGAUGAUAUCGACGAGUUAUAAUUUAACGGUAUAAGCACUGGCCAGCAAACGACGUAAAAAUUAUUGAAUUAGUUUGUGGUGGAUAAAGAUAGAAGAUGGUGGAAUAGCACAUGCUAAAGGACAUGAAACGACAUGGGAAUUAUUGAAGUUAGGUUUGAGUUGGCGGUUCUUCUUCUGGAAAGUUCAUUCGUUAGUGAGCUUAUAUGGGGUCAAUGGAAGCAGAAUUGGUGAGCCAUUUUGACCAGAUAUCAUCGAUCCGAGUUGCUAGGAUGGCAGCACAUACACGUACCCAAACCAAUAUAUUUAUUUGUUUGAUGAAGAACAUAUUAUUAUGGAGUGAUAGCUACGAAAUUGGAAACAUUUGCCGGGACCAUAGUCCAUAGCCAUAGGCCAUUUAAUUGACUGUGGGAUAACUAUGGACACAGGCAUAUUGGAAAUUAAGAGCAGUGGGCAGUGGCCCUAAUGACAAUAUACAUACCACCACUACCAUAUUAAUAUCAUAACAUUAAAUAAUGACUAAAGUUCAAUUUGAAUACGAAUAAAAUCCAUUAAGGAACUGAAAAUGAAAUAUGAAGUUGGUGGUCAGCAAAAAUUAAAUCACACGAGUUAACCAAAUUAACCAAUCUAUCUUUUUAUAAAUUUAAAUAAUUUUUUAGUUGAUUUAGUUCGAUUCAAAAUAUUUUAGUUUAGUUACGGUUGAUUUUUAUCUAUUUUUGAAUUAUUAUUUAAUAUUUUUAUCAAAAUUAACUUACGAAUCCAAUUGAUUUGAUUUUAUAAUUAAACAUUUUAAUUAAUUUGAUUAAGGAAAUAAAAUAAUUGGCUUGAUUUAAUUUCAUUCAAAAGAAUAGAGAUUAUGAUAAUUUAUGGUUUAAAAGAAGGGUUUUCACUCACUUAGCAUUCAAAAAGAAUCUCCUUUUGCUUUCCAAAGUUUUGGUGAGAUAUGAGACUCAGACGACUGAAUUAAUUAAAAAUUCAAAUGAAAACAUUAUGAAAGGGAGAUGAUGAUUGCUAUUAUCUGGAAGAUAACGAUAAAGGAAAUUAAGGUUAUCUUGCCCCACCUCCAUGUGCCAUCUAUUUAAUGUGCAUUUUUUUAAAAAAAAAAAGGCAAAAUCCACCCUAAGCCUUUUCUAUUUUACCAUUUUGACUUAAUAAGCCCUUAUUCUAAAAUUCAUCAUUGACGGAUCCAUUUAUUUUCAUUAUUGACAUGUUCAGACCCUUACGUAGAUGGAAAAUGGAAAAUGCGUUUCACUCACCGUUACGUGAGAAUAGAAAACAUUUGUCUGAUUUUUUUAACUUUGAAUCCUACUACUACAUAUAAAAUAAAAGGACCUUAAAUGGACUUUUUUCUUUUCUUCUCCACUUCUCUAAAAUCAGAUGUUCUCGUCCAGGAAUUUGUAUGUUUCCUCUGCUUAUUCAUUUUCUUAAUCCAUUUCAGCUUCAUUAUUAUAAUGGUUCACAUGAUUAUUUCAGGUGUUAAGUAAGAAAUAUAAAGCAAAUAAACUACUAUUUUCAUUAGUUAAUCAUUUGGAGGGUCAAUUUCUGAUUUAUAACAGCAGAUAUUUUGUUUUUUCUCUUUUACUUUUUCUGCUUUGUAAUUUAGUAAUAAACAUAAUGUUAUAGGAUCUAAUGCUAGAAUUUAUGAGUCAAAUUGAACUUUGAAAUUGCAAGGAUCCCUAAAAUUGGUUAUGAUACAUUGUCAAUUAACAGAAUUUCAGCAUUCCCAGAGUUGGGUGCUUAAUUUUUUUCCUUAAUUGUCAAGUAUAAUUUUUUCUUCCUUCUUUGUCGAUUUUUUUCGUCUCUGUUGAUUUUUUUUCUUUCAACUACAUAAUGUUGUACCUGAUUGAGUGUGAGAGACGAGAUAAAGAAGGAAGAAGCAGAGGAGAAUGAGGAGAGGUAUGAAGUGAACGAGUUUUUCAGGUUUAGGCGGAGAAAAAGAUAACGGCGGUGACGUGGAGGAGGAGGAAACGGAGAAGCGGCAAGGAGGAGGAAGUGUGGUUGAUUUGUGGUGGUCGUCGUCUUUGUUGAGCUGGAGGAGUCCGUCGGAGUGUGGGGAGCCUAGAGAUAGCCUCUGCAUUUUUGAGUUUAGUGAGAGAAAUGGAUAGAGAGAGGGAGGAGCUGUUGGUGUUUAGUAUAGUAAUGAGAUUUGGUUACAAAUGGCAGUGUGCUGCAAACGUCAAAUUUUUUUGAAUUGAAAAAGACAUGGUGAGGGAAGAAGAUGAUGGCAAAAUAAUAAUUUUGCCAUCAAAUUUAUUUUAUUUUUCACUUUUUGUUUAAAGUGUGAUUUUGUGUAAAACAAGUCCUCAAAAUUAAUGCCACGUUAUUUUUUUCUGUUAA